AAUUAUGUGUCAUUUGUACUUGAUACUUGAUAAUUGUCAUUGAUUUAACAUAAGUGUUUCUUUGAUAAUUAUGUGUGUAUUUGUUAUCUAAUUCGUUGUGCUAUAUUGUUAAUGAGUAUGCUUAUUAGAUAGAAUUGUGUAGGAACAUAUAUGCUUAUGCCUUACUUUUAUUUACUCAAGUGUGGAUAGUAAUCGAGUUACUUGCACUUAGUCGGAUA
rnacentral:lncRNA from 1 species